rnacentral:rRNA from 1 species
UGGGGAAUAUUGCACAAUGGGCGCAAGCCUGAUGCAGCCAUGCCGCGUGUAUGAAGAAGGCCUUCGGGUUGUAAAGUACUUUUAGCGGGGAGGAAGGGAGUAAAGUUAAUACCUUUGCUCAUUGACGUUACCCGCAGAAGAAGCACCGGCUAACUCCGUGCCAGCAGCCGCGGUAAUACGGAGGGUGCAAGCGUUAAUCGGAAUUACUGGGCGUAAAGCGCACGCAGGCGGUUUGUUAAGUCAGAUGUGAAAUCCUCGGGCUCAACCUGGGAACUGCAUCUGAUACUGGCAAGCUUGAGUCUCGUAGAGGGGGGUAGAAUUCCAGGUGUAGCGGUGAAAUGCGUAGAGAUCUGGAGGAAUACCGGUGGCGAAGGCGGCCCCCUGGACGAAGACUGACGCUCAGGUGCGAAAGCGUGGGGAGCAAACAGG